rnacentral:misc_RNA from 1 species
AAGUCGUAACAAGGUUUCCGUAGGUGAACCUGCGGAAGGAUCAUUAACAGUGCUUUUGUAUGCAAAUACAAUCCCACUACAAACCCUGUGUGAACCGUUUUGACUACCCAUGUGUGCGGCUGAAAAACUUGCAAAACUUUUAGCAAUGGAUCUCUAGGCUCUU